AUGUUCCCUCUUGUGAGCAUGCUGAAUUCCAACAUCGCAUACUUUUUGGUCUCAGAGUCCGCCGAAGAAGAAAAUAGCAAGGUUUCUCUGGUCACAAUUCAGUUAAGUACCAAGAAGGUGCUCGUAGUUGGUCCAUAUAUUUCAAGAGAAGAAGGCAGCCCCAGUGGCCCAGAUGCUGACAUGAUCGAGGAAAAGUCUCAUCUUCUAAGGAGUUUCAUUUCCUCCAGGUUCCCCACGUACUUAAAACAGACACUGGCUGGCGUAAUGAGGUUAGUGACUAGACUUAGGAAGGAAAUGCUGGAGGAAGAAGAUUUGUAG
rnacentral:rRNA from 1 species